rnacentral:lncRNA from 1 species
GUUCUGGGGUCGCCCCCACGGCGGCGCGGCGGAGCUCAGCCUCGAUCUCGCGAAACCGAGCGAGACUACGGAAGGCCGAAGGAUUGGGCUCAGCAUUGCUUGGGCUAAAGGCUGACUAGGGCUUCCAGGAAGUGAUGUAUGUGAGAAGUUUGCUUUUUAAAGUGUACGUGGGAUCGUUAUUACGUCGAAAUAGCUCGAGCUGUAACCUAGGGUAAAUAAUAAUUCCUUUUCGUAUUCAUCAAGGUGCUUCUAAGUGCCAGUGCCAGGAGUCUUGCUCUGUUGCCCAGGCUUGAGUGCAGUGGCACGAUCUUGGCUCACUGCAACCUCCACCUCCCGAGUUCAAGCGAUUCUCCUGCCUCACCCUCCUGAGUAGCUGGGACUACAGGCCUGCGCCACCACACCUGGCUAACUUCUGAAUAUCAAGCUGAAAUUACUAUCAGAUAUCUUGCCACCACAUAGAGGCUUUGAGUGAAGUCUGCAUGGAGGAGAACAGAGCUGAGAGAUGGAAAGAUACUGAAUCCCAGUGACGUCCUUUGAGAUGUCGGAUCAAGCUGAGCUGGGCAUGAAGAUAGAGCUACUCCUAUACUUUUAAGAUACGAUGAAGUACAGCUUGGCUGACCCAGUUCUUGGGAUGGGAGGAUUAAUGAACUCUCUAAACCAAACUUUUGGAGGAAAAGAACUUCAGAGGAGUUG